rnacentral:rRNA from 1 species
GAUGAACGCUGGCGGCGUGCCUAAUACAUGCAAGUCGAGCGAACAGACGAGGAGCUUGCUCCUCUGACGUUGGCUGCGGACGGGUGAGUAACACGUGGAUAACCUACCUAUAAGACUGGGAUAACUUCGGGAAACCGUAGCUAAUACCGGAUAAUAUAUUGAACCGCAUGUUUCAAUAGUGAAAGACGGUUUUGCUGUCACUUAUAGUUGGAUCCGCGUCUCAUUAGCUAGUUGGUAAGGUAACGGCUUACCAAGGCAACGAUGCGUAGCCGACCUGAGAGGGUGAUCGGCACACCGGGAACUGAGACACGGUCCAGACUCCUACGGGAGGCAGCAGUAGGGAAUCUUCCGCAAUGGGCGAAAGCUUGACGGAGAAACGCCGCGGGAGUGAUGAAGGUCUUCGGAUCGUAAAACUCUGUUAAUAGGGAAGAACAAAUGUGUAAGUAACUAUGCACGUCGUGACGGUACCUAAUCAGAAAGCCACGGCUAACUACGUG